CAGUAGCCACGGUAAUACAGAGGGUGCGAGCGUUAAUCGGAUUUACUGGGCGUAAAGCGUGCGUAGGCGGCUAAUUGAGUCGGAUGUGAAAUCCCCGAGCUUAACUUGGGAAUUGCAUUCGAUACUGGUUAGCUAGAGUGUGGGAGAGGAUGGUAGAAUUCCAGGUGUAGCGGUGAAAUGCGUAGAGAUCUGGAGGAAUACCGAUGGCGAAGGCAGCCAUCUGGCCUAACACUGACGCUGAGGUACGAAAGCAUGGGGAGCAAACAGGAUUAGAGACCCCAGUAGUCCCUGUCUCUUAUAC
rnacentral:rRNA from 1 species